rnacentral:siRNA from 1 species
AGUGAUACGAGCCAAGGAGGUGAC